UAUUGACAAUGACAAAAUUUAAAUUUUUAGGUGGACACCAUCAUAAUGAUUUUAGAGAAUAUGAUCGAAGUAAUAGCCUAAUGAUAGUAUAUUUCUAAAAGAAACAAAUAAUUAAAUAAUGGUAGAAUUGUCCAUUUUCUUUUAUAAAUUCUAGAUUUGAAAGGGUCUUUUAAAAAUAAUUAAGUCAUUUUCUUAAAUCAUUGUUAACUUUUUGGGGGGCUGCAGAUAUCUGAUGAAGCAAAUCAUCAAAGAAGAUAAAGACUGAAAUCCACGGCAGCAUUUCAUAAAGAGCAGGAAGAUGUUUAGUGCUAAAGACUGAAAAGCAGGCAAUCUCAGUGUGCUGGGAGCAAGACAGAGUAGAACAGCCUUCUGGAGAAAAGACUGCAAAUAAAGGAGAUCUAGUUAAUCUACUGUGCAAUUAUUCUGCCACAACAACAAAUGAAGAUUUUUAUCUCUUCUGAUACAUUCAGCUACCAAGUAGAGCACCAACAUUUAUGCCGAGUGUACAGUAUUUACUUUUUGUGAAGGAUCUACUGAGCCUGAUUUUAAGGAGAGAUUUUUUGAUCUCCACAUGAAGAACAGUUCCACUGACAAUCCAGUGUGUGCGUAUGUCUGACUUUGCUGUGUACUACUGUGCUCUAAAUCUCUGUGACUAAAACGCACUCUAUGACACUAUGACAUCCCAUAAUCACAGAAAGAUACAAUAUCUUACAACAACUUUCACACUCAAUGUACUUGGCAGGAACUUCCAAACUCAAAUCACUUGAGCCUAAAACCAUCACAACAAAGUCAUUCAUGUUUGUAUUUUUCUUCAAAAUCAUCUGCUAGAUAAAUAAAUAUAUAUAUAUAUAUAUAUAUAUAUUGUUUGUUUUGCAGUUGCGAAAGCCUUCCUCUAAGCAAUAACAUGAGAAGCAGCAGAAGGUAUCAUCACAGAAGUCAGGAAGUUCCAGUGUGUUUGAGUGAAACUGCAGAGACUCACAGUAACACAGAUCUACAGCUCAGAGCACAGACAACAUUAACACACACCUGAUCUGACAGUCAACAUGGAAAAACACCUGCUUCUGCUUUUAAUUCUGACUUCAGGUGUGAUGAGUGCAGACCAGAUUGGACCAAAUCAAGAAACUAGUGUCAUAAAAAAGGAAGACGAGACUGUGACCCUCAGCUGCUCAUAUGAAGCAAGCAGCAGUUAUGUUUAUCUGUACUGGUACAGACAGUAUCUUAAUGGAGAGCUUCACUAUUUAAUAUAUAAGUAUUCAGGUGGUGGAGGUGGCAGCCCAGCUGAUCCUCGCUUUCAGUCGACUACACCACAAUCAUCCACUAAACUCACUAUUACUGGUGUAACUCUGUCAGAUUCAGCUCUCUAUUAUUGUGCUCUAAGAGCAGGAGCCCAGUGAUACAAAGACUAUGUGAAGCCGUACAAAAACUCAAACUCAUUUUUCCCUUUAAUG